GAUCAUUAGUGAAUAUAGGACGUCCAACUUAACUUGGAGUCCGAACUCUCACUUUCUAACCCUGUGCACUUGUUUGGGAUAGUAACUCUCGCAAGAGAGCGAACUCCUAUUCACUUAUAAACACAAAGUCUAUGAAUGUAUUAAAUUUUAUAACAAAAUAAAACUUUCAACAACGGAUCUCUUGGCUCUCGCAUCGAUGAAGAACGCAGCGAAAUGCGAUAAGUAAUGUGAAUUGCAGAAUUCAGUGAAUCAUCGAAUCUUUGAACGCACCUUGCGCUCCAUGGUAUUCCGUGGAGCAUGCCUGUUUGAGUGUCAUGAAUACUUCAACCCUCCUCUUUCUUAAUGAUUGAAGAGGUGUUUGGUUUCUGAGCGCUGCUGGCCUUUACGGUCUAGCUCGUUCGUAAUGCAUUAGCAUCCGCAAUCGAACUUCGGAUUGACUUGGCGUAAUAGACUAUUCGCUGAGGAAUUCUAGUCUUCGGAUUAGAGCCGGGUUGGGUUAA
rnacentral:misc_RNA from 1 species